rnacentral:lncRNA from 1 species
AGAGCCCCAGAGGCAGAGCUGCCCAAGGCUUUGGGAGCCCACCUCUUGCAUCACUGUGCCCUGGAUGUGAGACGUGGAAUCAAGGAGAUUAUUUUGGAGCUUUAAGACGUAAUGGCACCCUGCUGGGUUUCAGACUUGAGUGGAGCCUGCAGCCUUUCUUUCGGCCGGUUUCUCCCUUUUGGAACGGGAGUAUUUACCCAAUGCCUGUACCCCCAUGACGUGCCCGUGUCCCCUUCCUCCACCACAAGAUUGUAAGUUUUCUGGAGCCUCCCCAGAAGCUGAGAAGAAGCUGCUAUGCUUCCUGUUCAGCCUGCAGAACCGCCACUUCCAGCAUCGAUGGUGUCAGGUCAGGUCCUCUGGGUAGAAGAAAUGGAGUCAGUUAGGAGUGCUGGAGACUGAGUAAGAGGUGGCAGCUGAGGCUUACUACCCCAGGAAAGGGAUGCCACCAGAGAAGGCAGACAACCAAGAUGGCGACUCUCAAUUUUUGAGC